rnacentral:rRNA from 1 species
GACGAACCGUGCGAACGUGAUUCGGAAUCACUGGGCUUAAAGCGCGUGUAGGCGGGAUGGCACGUCGGUCGCUGAAAGCCCCCGGCUCAACCGGGGAAGUGGCGCCGAUACGACCACCCUGGAGGGACGUAGGGGGACCUGGAACUUCCGGUGGAGCGGUGAAAUGCGUUGAGAUCGGAAGGAACGCCCGUGGCGAAAGCGACGUGCUGGACCUCUUCUGACGCUGAGGCGCGAAAGCUAGGGGAGCAAACGGG